UUGUGUUUCUUAUUGCUUUUUUUUCCUCCUGUUAUUACAUUUAUACUGUAUUUUUUUUGUCAUAUAAAUGGUUAAUUUUUAUUACAAUAAUAAUUAUUUUAGUAAAGUUUUUUAUUUAUUUUCUUUUGCUUUUUCAUUUAAUUUUUUCUUUUUAACAUUUUAUAUAUACUUUUUUUCAUUUAUUUCAUUUUUUUAAAAAAAUUACCUUUAUUCAUAUCAAUGGUUAUUUUUUCUUACAACUAUAAUUACUUGACCAAGUCAUUAAAAUUACAAGUUUUCAUAAGUAAAAAUAACAUUUUUUUGAAAAAAGUAAUAAUUUUCAAAUAUUACAUUUCUUCAUAUGAAUAAUUACUUUUUAUUAAGACAAUAGUUACUUUUAAUAAGUAUAAAAU
rnacentral:lncRNA from 1 species